CAUGGUGGCAGGUGCCUGUAGUCCCAGCUACUCAGGAGGCUGAAGCAGAAGAAUCGCUUGAACCCAGGAGGCAGAGGUGGCAGUGAGCCGAGACUAACCCCCUGCACUGCAGCCUGGGGUACAGAAUGAGACUUCAUCUCAAAAAAAAAAAACACAACAACAAAAACCGCCAGGCACAGUGGCUCACGCCUGUGAUCCCAGCACUUCAGGAGGCGGAGGCGGGCGGAUCAUGAGAUCAGGAGAUCAAGACCAUCCUGGCCAACAAGGUGAAACCCUGUCUCUACCAAAAAUACAAAAAAAAAUCAGCUGGGUGUGGUGGCACAUACCGUAAUCCCAGCUACUAGGGAGGCUGCGGCAGGAGAAUCGCUUGAACCUGGGAGGCAGAGGGUGCAGGGAGCCGAGAUUGUGCCACUGUACUCCAGCCUGGUGACAGAGCUAGACUCUGUCUCAAAAAAAAAAAAAAAAAAAAAUCAACUUUAUCGAGGGGUAUAAUCCACAUUACAAAUAAAGGUUCACAUUCUGGCCGGGCGCCGUGGCUCACGCCUGUAAUCCCAGCACUUUGGGAGGCCGAGGCGGGCAGAUCACGAGGUCAGGAGUUGGAGACCAGCCUAGGCGAUGUGGCAAGAACCUGUCUCUGCACAAAACAGAGAACUAGCCAGGAAUGGCGGGGGGUGUGUCUGUAGUCCUAGCUACUCUGGAGGCUGAGAUGGGGGAAAUCACUUGAGUCUGGGAGGUGGAGGCUGCAGUGAGCUGUGAUCUUGCCGCUGCACUCCAGCCUGGGCAACAGAGUGAGACCCUGUCUCAAAAAAAAAAAAAAAAAGUGGAAAGAUCCAAACCCUCAGCUAUAUUUUUCUGCAAUGGAAUAUUAUGCAGCAGUAAAAAAAUGCAUGGGCCAGGUGGGGUGGCUCACGGCCGGGCAUGGUGACUCAUGCCUGUAAUCCCAGCACUUUGAUAGGCUGAGGUGGGUGGAUCAUUUGAGGUCAGGAGUAUGAGACCAGCUUGACCAACAUGGUGAAACCCUGUCUCUACUAAAAAUACAAAAAUUAGCCGGGCAUGGUGGUGCGUGCCUGUAAUCCCAGGUACUCAGGAGGCUGAGUCAGGAGAAUUGCUUGAACCUGGGAGGCGAAGGUUGCAGUGAGCUGAGAACAUGCCACUGUACUCCAGCCUGGCGACAGAACGAGAUUCCGUCUCAGUAAAUAAAUAAAUAAAUAAACGGAUGGCGGCUUCCUGCACCCACAGGAUGCUUCCGAGGUGACACCACGCUGAGUGGGAAAAAGUGAACUCAGGAGAUGGCAGCGGGUGUGACAUCCUCUUUACGAAGUUAAAAACAAUCAAAAACUAAACACGACACUGUGAUGCACCUGUGAUGGAUACGUGUGGCAUGUCCCUAGGGCUAAACCUUCAACACAGGAAGGCAAGGGAUGGCAGCACAAAUCAAGACAGUGGCCGCCUGGGGAGG
rnacentral:lncRNA from 1 species